rnacentral:lncRNA from 1 species
AGAAAAAGUCAUAUAUCAAGGCAACGUUAAUAUGCUUUGAUAGGGACACUUGUCAGAGACUUUCUCCAGCUAGCUUCUCUUUUCUUGAAGGUAGCUAAAGGGGAAAUAUUGGUGGGGGAAAGACUUGGUCCUGUGAGAUAUUUAGGGUUGCUUUUUUGAUAAUACAGUGUUUACAUCUCUGAAGUCUAUGUAACUUGUAGCUUUAGCUGGCCUGCCUCUCUCACUUCUCCUGAGGCCACACCUGCUGUCUCUAGCAUUCAGCACCGAAUGCCAAGUAACGGGAAUUAUAUCGCAGACCAACUUUGCAAAUUGGCUUCCAUCUCUCAAGAACUUGUUGCAAUUAAGAACUCAGUUCUUCCCACAGGUCUCAACUGGCCAUUUUCUGUAACCAGCCAAGGGCUCAAGUGGAGGAAUUGUUACACCAACCUAUCUCUAAACCCUUGACCUACAGAUUCUACUGCCUGUAGAGUGAACUGGGACUGGAGCUUAGCAGAAUCAUCAUUAAAGAGAUCAGAGAGACUUCUUCCAGCAUCUGAUGGGAGCAGAUGCACAGUCCCACAACCAAACAUUAGGUGGAGUUCAAAGAGUCCUGGGGAGACAGGAGGAAGGAUCUGAGGAUUGGUCAGGAACAUACCGUGAGAAUGUUGCCCAGAGAACUAAUUGACUGAGAUUUGUGGGAAGUUGCAGAGAUCAGUAAUCCUGUAGAGCUCUAACCUGGGUACUUUACAUACAUAUGUUAUGGCUGAGUGGCUUGGUGUUCUUGUGGAAAUCAGGGUCUAUCCCUCACUAACUCUUUUGCCUAUCUGUGAAAACCAUUUUCUCUUACUGGGUUGUCUUGCCCAGCUUUGAUGUGAUGGUAUGUGCCUGGUCUUAUUGUAGUUUGUUAUAGCCUGCUUGAUAUUUGGUUGAUGUCCCUGGGAGGCCGGCUCUUCUCAGCAGGGAGAGAAGAGGGAGGGGAAAUUGGUUGAGAUGUAAUUCAUGAGAGAAUAACAAAAAAACAAAGUCUAAUUCAGUUAGUAGAUUCAUAGACUAACACCUUGGUCACAUGUGUACUUCAAGCUGCUGUCUCCCUGUGUGUGAAUCCAUUCAUAUGCAUGUGCAGUAGUCAGAGGCAGCUUUUGGGAACUGUUUUUUUUUUUUUCCUUCUGUUUUGUGGGCUUCAGAAUUAGAUCUCAGUUGAUCAAGCUUGACAGCAAGUGCCUGUACACACUGAACCCUCUCAUUGAUCCCCUAAUAUAGUUUCCAAUAGUCUGUAAAGGGCAUAUAUUUGCACUAUAAUCUUAUUUUUAAAGUAAAAAGUAAACUUAAGUGUUCAUUUGAAUGGGCAAGGAUGGAAAACAGGUUGUCUGAGGAUAUCAAGUUAAUUGAAGAAUUUUACUAAAAUUAUCCUAGGAGUUUUCUUGUUCAGCACAAUGAAUUGAAACACCUUAAACAUUAAUAGGUAACAUUUACACAUUAGUUACAUGGUCAAGAGAUAAUUUUAGAAUU